AAGGGUUUAGGUUAAGUAAACCAGUUGCCUUCAAAGCAAUCAAUAAGCAAAUAGUUUAACCUUUAA
rnacentral:tRNA from 1 species